rnacentral:rRNA from 1 species
UACGUAGGGUGCGAGCGUUGUCCGGAAUUACUGGGCGUAAAGAGCUCGUAGGUGGUUUGUCGCGUUGUUCGUGAAAACCGGGGGCUUAACCCUCGGCGUGCGGGCGAUACGGGCAGACUGGAGUACUGCAGGGGAGACUGGAAUUCCUGGUGUAGCGGUGGAAUGCGCAGAUAUCUGGAAGAACACCAGUGGCGAAGGCGGCUCUCUGGGACGGUACUGACGCUGAGACGCGAAAGCGUGGGGAGCGAACAGG